GAGUGACUCACUCACAAUACUAAAGACCCACAGAAAAAUGAGAAUAGAGAGUAACAUCCUCCAAUGAUGAAGAUAAGCUACAAAAAGCCUACAUUCCUGUUGCUCAAAACUGGACUUGGAGGCAGCAGACCAUGUGAUUGAAGAAUACAUUCUCCAAAAUAGAAACCAAGCCUGCUCUACCACUUAUAACCGCCUUGAGUACACAAGAGAGAUCGCUACGCCCGCAGAAACCAAGUCACAGCCUGGCUGAUUUUCAGACAUGCUGGUGUCCCUCUGAACCAGCUCUCUUGUCAUCAAUCUCUACCUGCACAAACACUCAUGUCAGUUGGAAACACUAGAGGUUGAUCUGUGGAAGAAAUCUCCAACUACAGCUCUGUUUUAAAUGCACGAAGAAUGUGAAGGCUUCGAUAGCAUGCAUUCCAAAUCAGCUCUGAAGAUCCAUAGAUGAGAGAGUCUCAG
ensembl:lncRNA